UGAGGAAUAUUGGUCAAUGGGCGAGAGCCUGAACCAGCCACGUCGCGUGAAGGAAGACUGACCUUACGGUUUGUAAACUUCUUUUGUAGAGGGGUAAUGGCAGAUACGUGUAUUUGCGUGAAAGUACUCUACGAAUAAGCAUCGGCUAACUCCGUGCCAGCAGCCGCGGUAAUACGGGGGAUGCGAGCGUUAUCCGGAAUUAUUGGGUUUAAAGGGUGCGCGGGUGGCUAAUCAGGUCAGUGGUGAAAAGCUAUGGCUCAACCAUGGUCUUGCCAUUGAAACCGUAUAGCUAGAGAGGAGACGAGGUAGGCGGAAUGUGUGGUGUAGCGGUGAAAUGCUUAGAUAUCAUGAAGAACUCCGAUUGCGAAGGCAGCUUACGGGAGUGUUACUGACGCUUAAGCUCGAAGGUGCGGGUAUCGAACAGG
rnacentral:rRNA from 1 species